rnacentral:rRNA from 1 species
CAGCUCGUGUUGUGAAAUGUUGGGUUAAGUCCCGCAACGAGCGCAACCCUUAUCCUUUGUUGCCAGCGGUCCGGCCGGGAACUCAAAGGAGACUGCCAGUGAUAAACUGGAGGAAGGUGGGGAUGACGUCAAGUCAUCAUGGCCCUUACGACCAGGGCUACACACGUGCUACAAUGGCGCAUACAAAGAGAAGCGACCUCGCGAGAGCAAGCGGACCUCAUAAAGUGCGUCGUAGUCCGGAUUGGAGUCUGCAACUCGACUCCAUGAAGUCGGAAUCGCUAGUAAUCGUGGAUCAGAAUGCCACGGUGAAUACGUUCCCGGGCCUUGUACACACCGCCCGUCACACCAUGGGAGUGGGUUGCAAAAGAAGUAGGUAGCUUAACCUUCGGGAGGGCGCUUACCACUUUGUGAUUCAUGACUGGGGUGAAGUCGUAACAAGGUAACCGUAGGGGAACCUGCGGUUGGA